GUGCGCGGAGGAAUCAGAAACAGAUAUGUGAGUCGCCGACUCCAGCAAGCGAGUCGCCGAUCCCGUAAGAGGAAUCGGUGAGGUUUGGCUGGGAGUCGCCGACCCAGUAGCAGCUGAAGCCUGCCCCGGUCGCCUGAAGCGUCUCCCUCUGACAGGGCCUUCAUGAGUCGCCGACUCCACAUUGGGAGUCGCCGACACAGAGGCCAC
rnacentral:lncRNA from 1 species